rnacentral:rRNA from 1 species
GACGAACGCUGGCGGCGUGCUUAACACAUGCAAGUCGAACGAAGAGCGAUGGAAGCUUGCUUCUAUCAAUCUUAGUGGCGAACGGGUGAGUAACGCGUAAUCAACCUGCCCUUCAGAGGGGGACAACAGUUGGAAACGACUGCUAAUACCGCAUACGAUCUAACCUCGGCAUCGAGGAAAGAUGAAAGGUGGCCUCUAUGUAUAAGCUAUCACUGAAGGAGGGGAUUGCGUCUGAUUAGCUAGUUGGAGGGGUAACGGCCCACCAAGGCGAUGAUCAGUAGCCGGUCUGAGAGGAUGAACGGCCACAUUGGGACUGAGACACGGCCCACGGGGGUGGGGAAUCUUCCGCAAUGGACGAAAGUCUGACGGAGCAACGCCGCGUGAGUGAUGACGGCCUUCGGGUGUAAAGCUCUGUUAAUCGGGACGAAAAGGCCUUUCUG